rnacentral:lncRNA from 1 species
AUCUCAUUUUUAGAUCCUGAAGCGUUAUUAUUCUUCAACACGCGCAAUGACAUAAGAUAUGUGUCUGUGAAAUCCAAAAAUGAAGUGACCGUCACAACUGGUAUCAAACAGGCGCACGCGGUGUCAUACGACGGCAAGUACUUGUACUGGGUGGAGAUCGCCGAAGGUCACCAGGCCAUCAUGAGGGCAAGGCUCGACGAUAUUAAGGACUCUAAACAGGUUAUAGCCGCUCUAGGUCUAGAAGAUCCUGGCGACAUAGCGAUAGACUACCUGGGCGACAACAUAUACUUUAGCGACGUGAAGCGUGGCAUCAUUUCCGCGUGUCGGUCCGACGGGUCGGCGUGCGUUACGGUACGCACUCGCUCCAGGCGGCCGAGAUUCGUCACCCUUGACCCUAG